GCGCCCGUGGCUCAAUUGGAUAGAGCACUUGACUACGGAUCAAGCGAUUAUGGGUUCGAAUCCUAUCGGGCGCGCCA
rnacentral:tRNA from 1 species